UAGGGAAUCUUCUGCAAUGGACGCAAGUCUGACGGAGCAACGCCGCGUGAGUGAAGAAGGAUUUCGGUUCGUAAAACUCUGUUGUUAGAGAAGAACAGCGCAUAGAGUAACUGUUAUGCGUGUGACGGUAUCUAACCAGAAAGCCACGGCUAACUACGUGCCAGCAGCCGCGGUAAUACGUAGGUGGCAAGCGUUGUCCGGAUUUAUUGGGCGUAAAGCGAGCGCAGGCGGUCAAUUAAGUCUGAUGUGAAAGCCCCCGGCUCAACCGGGGAGGGUCAUUGGAAACUGGUUUACUUGAGUGCAGAAGAGGAGAGUGGAAUUCCAUGUGUAGCGGUGAGAUGCGUAGAUAUAUGGAGGAACACCAGUGGCGAAGGCGACUCUCUGGUCUGUAACUGACGCUGGGGUUCGAAAGCGUGGGUAGCAAACAGG
rnacentral:rRNA from 1 species